rnacentral:rRNA from 1 species
ACGCUGGCGGCGUGCUUAACACAUGCAAGUCGAACGGUGACCCAGGGCUUGCCCUGGUGAUCAGUGGCGAACGGGUGAGUAACACGUGGGCAACCUGCCCCUGACUUCGGGAUAACUCCUCGAAAGAGGAGCUAAUACCGGAUACGACCACUUCGGACAUCCGAUGGUGGUGGAAAGUUUUUCGGUCAGGGAUGGGCCCGCGGCCUAUCAGCUAGUUGGUGGGGUAAUGGCCUACCAAGGCGACGACGGGUAGCCGGCCUGAGAGGGCGACCGGCCACACUGGGACUGAGACACGGCCCAGACUCCUACGGGAGGCAGCAGUGGGGAAUAUUGCGCAAUGGCGAAAGCCUGACGCAGCGACGCCGCGUGAGGGAUGAAGGCCUUCGGGUUGUAAACCUCUUUCAGCAGGGACGAAGCGAAAGUGACGGUACCUGCAGAAGAAGCACCGGCUAACUACGUG